CAGUAGCCGCGGGAAUACGGAGGGUGCAAGCGUUAUCCGGAUUUAUUGGGUUUAAAGGGUCCGUAGGCGGAUCUGUAAGUCAGUGGUGAAAUCUCACAGCUUAACUGUGAAACUGCCAUUGAUACUGCAGGUCUUGAGUAAAUUUGAAGUGGCUGGAAUAAGUAGUGUAGCGGUGAAAUGCAUAGAUAUUACUUAGAACACCAAUUGCGAAGGCAGGUCACUAAGAUUUAACUGACGCUGAUUGACGAAAGCGUGGGGAGCGAACAGGAUUAGAUACCCCUGUAGUCCCUGUCUCUUAUAC
rnacentral:rRNA from 1 species